CUUGCUAUUAGUAUCAUUAUUAACAUCUACUGCUUUCUCAAGCUUAAAACCUAUGAUACAACCACUGCUAAGCAAACAAAGUUUGAUGAUGAUAUACCAAUGCAAGCCUGUGAACCGUAUGGUAUUCACAAGACUGAAGAUGUUACAAGAGAGGCAGUAUAUGAGUGUCCUGAUGUCAAUGUUAAUGAUACUGCUAUUUAUGAAAC